rnacentral:lncRNA from 1 species
CACCAGCCCCCAAUUAUUAUUCUUAAAUUCACCUUUGGAAGAACAGGAUUUGACAAUGUGGACUGCACUGAAAUCAAAGAACUUUUUAAAAACCCAGUUUUUAAAAUACCGCUUUAAAGGUCCAAGGAUAACCGUGUACAGGAGCACCCUGAAUGCCACCGUGGGUUUACACCAGGCUGUGAGAAGACAAAGUGUCACCUCAGACUCAAAGAGGCACCUAAUGAGUCAAGGACCAAAGGAACAACUUGUCCAAAAGAAACACAUGAUGCGAAAGAUGUCUCUCUCUAAGUAUUACUGAGUUUGCAGCACGCAGCUGCUAUUAAACAUAAGCAUGAGUGGCUGUCUGGAAGAAUCAAUCUCCAAAGAUUUGCUGUGAGUAUAAGCAUGUCCCAUGAGAAGAGACACUGUGGAAACUGUGACUAUGACCUCAGCUAGAGUUACUCUUUGUAGCCUGAUGG